AAUGAACGUUGGCGGCGUGGAUUAGGCAUGCAAGUCGAGCGAGAACCCCGCAAGGGGGGACGGCGGCAAACGGGGUAGUAAUGUGUCGGAACGUGCCCUGAGGUCGGGGAUAGCGGCGGGAAACUGCCGGUAAUACCCGAUGAUCUCGAGAGAGCAAAGGUGUGAUUCCGCCUUUGGAGCGGCCGACAUGGUAUUAGCUAGUUGGCGGGGUAACGGCCCACCAAGGCUGUGAUGCCUAGGGGAUGUGAGAGCAUGAUCCCCACCAUUGGGACUGAGACACUGCCCAGACACCUACGGGUGGCUGCAGUCGAGAAUCUUCGUCAAUGGGCGAAAGCCUGAACGAGCGACGCUGCGUGCGGGAUGAAGGCCUUUGGGUUGUAAACCGCUGUCGAGGGGGAUGAAGGCUGGAGGGUACUCCUUCCAGUUUGACAGAGCCCUGGAGGAAGCACGGGCUAAGUUCGUGCCAGCAGCCGCCGUAACAC
rnacentral:rRNA from 1 species